CAAAAGGCCUUACUAAAGGCCACCGAGAUUGAAUCAACUAACGUGU
rfam:Picea glauca, whole genome shotgun sequence.